AUUGAACGCUGGCGGAAUGCUUUACACAUGCAAGUCGAACGGCAGCACGGGGCAACCUGGUGGCGAGUGGCGAACGGGUGAGUAAUACAUCGGAACGUGCCCAAUCGUGGGGGAUAACGUAGCGAAAGUUACGCUAAUACCGCAUACGAUCUACGGAUGAAAGCGGGGGAUCGCAAGACCUCGCGCGAAUGGAGCGGCCGAUGUCAGAUUAGGUAGUUGGUGGGGUAAAGGCUCACCAAGCCAACGAUCUGUAGCUGGUCUGAGAGGACGACCAGCCACACUGGAACUGAGACACGGUCCAGACUCCUACGGGAGGCAGCAGUGGGGAAUUUUGGACAAUGGGCGCAAGCCUGAUCCAGCCAUUCCGCGUGCAGGAUGAAGGCCUUCGGGUUGUAAACUGCUUUGUACGGUAACG
rnacentral:rRNA from 1 species